GCCGGCGUGUCGGAAUUGGCAGACGAGGCAGACUCAAAAUCUGUUAUGGGCAACCAUGUGCGGGUUCAAGUCCCGCCGCCGGCA
rnacentral:tRNA from 1 species